AUAUGGGUUAUAGGAAGAUAAGGAUUAAAAACAAAAAGAAGAAGAAGAACAAGAUUGUGACCAAAGUUACUUAUUUCCUUUUUUUGGUUGGAGUAACUAGACUAGCACAGCAGAGAAAUAUUGACAACUUACUUGUGUAACCCCUGCCCCAUUGGCAUGGAAUACUCAUCAGUGGAGCAAAAAGCCCCACCUUGCAAAGGGGUGGCAUGGAAUUGAGAAAAAGAAAUCUCUAGCUCUCUCCAGUCCCUGUGGGGGACUCUUGGAAUGACCAUCUUUUUCAGCAUUCUUCAAGCAGUGAGUUGCUUCAGGUCCUUCUGGCUUCUGAUUUUGAGAGGGAAGAAGCAAGAUGCAAGAAGCCAACCACACUUCAGGUGGCAGAAGGAAACCAUGAAAGGAGCUGACUAUCUCUGGUCAUGUCCCUAUCUCCAGCUUACAAUAGAGCCAUGAGAUUUUAGAUGACAAAUGUUCACGACCUGGUUCUGAUACCUGGAACCUGGUGUACAGAUGGAAGGUAGCAGCACCUUGGGUGAGGGCCCUGAACUCCUUACAAAGAGAAUCUGAGAUAGAAUCAUAUCCGUGAAGAGAUUACCAAUGAUCUGCUUGAGUUUCCUGCUGCCCCUUGGCCAACAUGGAAGCUUGUUCUGAAGUGAAAAGAAUUGGAAAGUCCCUGACAUCCUGGCAAGCUGAGUUACGGGCACUAAGGAAAGAAGAAGCCUUUUUUAACAGAAGCAGAGUCAGGUGGAGGAUUGGCCUUCUGAUGAGAAAGGGAUCUUCUGACUCUUUAAAGAAAGGCCUUCUUUGGCAAACUGGGGAAACCUCAGAAGUUCAGGUUCAGAAUACUCCCUGGCCAUCAGGACAAGAAAAAAGUCAACUAGGCAAGAAGUGAACUCUCUGUCUCUGGAAGUGUCCAAUCAUGAGAGAUGGUUCAGUACAAACAAUGCUGAAUUGGGAGCCACUUCAAAUUCUGGUUCAAAACUAGUAGGACCUUCAAUGAGUUUUUCCCCAAAUAUGGACUCAAUUUCCUCAUUUGUAGUAAUAGUUGAUACUUAUUAAAGCACUUUGUUGUUCUUAUUGGUCAGAUCUGUGAUUCCAUUCAUAUAAAGAACUCUCUUUUUGGGAGUACUAUUGUAAAGAUUAAAAUUUAGGGGAGACUGAGGCAGGUAGAAAUUAGUUUCUCUCUGCAAGUAGUAUUAUAUUUUUAUGAGGUUUAUUAAAGGUUAAGGAUUAAAGAAAAUACAGAAUAAGAAAGCACAUGCCUAGGCCAGAGAGGCCUGGACAAGAUAACCUCACAUCAUGAAAGAGACAUGUCUGCUCCAAAACGGAAGUCCAAAAAAGCUCGAGCCUAUUCACAACCAGGCUUAAAUACCCCAUCUCACUCUCGGCCCAAGUGAGAAUUCAGUGAGAUUAGAGGGCAUUCUGGGGAAGUGGAGCAAGGAUUUCUGGGGAUUGAAGUCCUGGAUUCGAGUCUAUUUUUACACUAUCUACCAAAGUUGGCCAAUAGACAAAUUAUGCACCCACUAUAUACCAGGCAUUGGGGAUACAAAACCAGAUGUGAACCUGUCCCUGCCUUCCCUAAAUUCUAAAUUUGAUUAGAAUCUCUCUCUGUAACUACAUACCAUUAGAGAGUGGAGAGAGCAAGGGAAUUGAUUUGCCCAGAGUCACAAAGCAAGAUUAUGCCAGGGUUGGGACUUGGACCCACCUCUAAUUCAUUCUGGCCAGUCUGCCAGCCAGUAUGUGACUGAUUGUCUUUGUUUAGGUUGUUCUGUCUAAUAACAGAAGAGUAGGACAAUUGAAAGAAUAGCUUUCAAAAGAAGAAAUUCAAACUAUUCAUAACCAUAUGAAAGAAUGCUCCGUAAGAUUAGUAAUAAGAGAAGUUAAAAUUAAAACAAUUCCAAGGUUUUAUCUCAUAUCCGUGAGAUUGGCAGAGAUGACAGAAGAUAGAAUGAUGGAGGAGCCAUGGAAUGAUGGGCAUAGUAAUACACUAGUGGUGGAGCUGUGAAUUUUGAUCCAAUUAUUCUGGAAAACAACUUUGAUUAGACUUUCAAAGUCAUUAAAAAGUAAAUACCUGCAAACCCAGUGAAUAUACUAUCAGUCAAAAUCUCCAAAGUCAAAGAGAGAGAGGUCCCAUGAUCAAAUGAUGAAACACAUAUACGGCUGUAGCUGAUCCAGGGGUGGGGGGUGGUAGUAAGGAUGGAGGUCCCCAUCUCCAUGAACAUUGCUCCCCUUGAUGAUGGCUAUGGAGAGGCCAACUGGAAACAGAGGUAGUAGCCUGAAACUUGCUGUCACUCCUGAGGCUCUUGAGCUUGCCUUUCCUCUGAGGCCAUUGGUUGGGACUUGGUGGUACAAAUGGCAGGCCUUUUCUCCACAAGGUUUGCUCCCCCUUACUGAUAUUUAUGAAAGCCAGACUGAUGGGCUGGGAGGGAGCUGUACUGUUGUUCCAAAGACUCACUAUGUCUCUUUCAUACUUGUAUCAUUUGUUGGAUAGCACAUUACCUGGCACGUAAUAAAUAUUUGAAUUGUUUUGUUUGUUUGUUUUUU
rnacentral:lncRNA from 1 species